rnacentral:rRNA from 1 species
GACGAACGCUGGCGGCGUGCUUAACACAUGCAAGUCGAACGAAGUGGCGAACGGGUGAGUAAUACGUGGGUAACCUGCCCUCCUUUUUGGGAUAAGCCUUGGAAACGGGGUCUAAUACCGAAUAAAGGGGGAUGGGCUCGGGGCCUAUCAGGUUGUUGGUGGGUUGAUGGCCUACCGAGGCGGUGACGGGUAGCCGGGCUGAGAGGGUGACCGGCGACAGUGGGACGGAGAUACGGCCCAGAGGACGACGGGGGGGAGCAGUGGGGGCUAUUGCAGAAUGGGCGAAAGCGGGAUGCAGCGAGGCCGCGUGGGGGAUGAGGGCUUUCGGGUUGUAAACCUCUGGCGCUAUCAAUCCGGUAGGUGGAGAAGAAGCGCCGGCUAACUACGUGCCAGCAGCCGCGGUAAUAC